UAAUAAUGUCGUUCCCAUCUUAACAUUUGAUUCCUUCGCCUAUAGAAUAAAAUGUAGAUUUUUGACUGAGGUGUUUAUGGCCUGGUCUAUAAUAAUGUAUCAUGCAUGUAAAGAAAGGUUAGAGAAGAUUGAUAUUUGACUAUAUAAGAAUGUGAUGGAUGAAGCAGAGUUGUCGAACUCCAUGGUUUUGAGCUUAGGUAUUUGAGAUUAUUGAAAACCAUUUCAGCUUAGAAAUACUGUUCCAUUAAAUCUGUCUUUUUAAUUCUCUCUGGAAUUCCCAAAGGAAUCCACAUGGCUUUAUUCCUCUUUGUAAGUUUAGACUCCUUUGGAGUUUUGUCAUUACUACAUAUUCAUACAUUUUUGAAUCUUUUCUUGUGCCUUCUUUAUUUCUGAUUAUUUUGUGAUACUUGAAGGAUUUUCUGGGCUGGAGGCCUGGCUCAAGUGGUAGAGCAUUGGUAUAGUAGGCACAAGGCCCUGAGUUCAAUUCCUAGUACCGCCAAAGGGAAAAAAAAAGAUUGUCUUCUCAGAGGAUCCCUUGCCAGGUUCAACCAAAAAAGCACGCUACUAAUUGUAAACUCAGACUUAAUUUGGAUGAUUGUAAAUGACUUACAAAUUUGCUACUUCCUUUUUAGGAAGGACUGUCAAGACCAGUUCUUGAGUACAUUGACUUGGUUUGUGGUGGUAAUGAAGAGCCUCACAUCCACCACAGUGAUAAUUGAAUCGUAAUAAAAAACAUUCAUAGAUUUUUGUGACACUUGUUGACUAUAGAAUUUUAAAACUGAUAGAGGAUUUUUCAAGAAAGAGCAAAUCACACUGAAGUUACAGGUAUAAACUGAAAUUCAAGGUAAGUAGAUUAGUUGAAACUUUAUUUCUAAAAUUAUAUAAAGAAAUCAUUUAGAGAA
rnacentral:lncRNA from 1 species